rnacentral:rRNA from 1 species
UACGUAGGGUGCGAGCGUUAAUCGGAAUUACUGGGCGUAAAGCGUGCGUAGGCGGCGCGGUAAGUCGGGUGUGAAAUCUCGGAGCUUAACUCCGAAACUGCAUUCGAUACUGCGGUGCUUGAGGACUGGAGAGGAGACUGGAAUUCAUGGUGUAGCAGUGAAAUGCGUAGAGAUCAUGAGGAAGACCAGUGGCGAAGGCGGGUCUCUGGACAGUUCCUGACACUGAGACACGAAGGCCAGGGGAGCAAACGGG